GGGGAAGGCAUAAAGGUUAUAGAGUUGGCUUGAAACUAACUGUUGGAGGUUCGAUUCCUUCCCUUCUCG
ensembl:Mt_tRNA